AGAGUUUGAUCCUGGCUCAGAUUGAACGCUGGCGGAAUGCUUUACACAUGCAAGUCGAACGAUGAACCCUAGCUUGCUAGGGGGAUUAGUGGCGAACGGGUGAGUAAUAUAUCGGAACGUGCCUUGUAAUGGGGGAUAACUAGUCGAAAGAUUAGCUAAUACCGCAUACGCCCUGAGGGGGAAAGUAAGGGAUCUUCGGACCUUACGUUAUAAGAGCGGCCGAUAUCUGAUUAGCUAGUUGGUGGGGUAAUGGCCUACCAAGGCAUCGAUCAGUAGCUGGUCUGAGAGGACGACCAGCCACACUGGAACUGAGACACGGUCCAGACUCCUACGGGAGGCAGCAGUGGGGAAUUUUGGACAAUGGGCGCAAGCCUGAUCCAGCCAUUCCGCGUGAGUGAAGAAGGCCUUCGGGUUGUAAAGCUCUUUCGCAAGGGAAGAAAACUGUGCCAGCAGCCGCGGUAAUACGUAGGGUGCGAGCGUUAAUCGGAAUUACUGGGCGUAAAGCGUGCGCAGGCGGUUUGGCAAGUCAGAUGUGAAAUCCCCGAGCUCAACUUGGGAACUGCGUUUGAAACUGCCAGACUAGAAUAUGUCAGAGGGGGGUAGAAUUCCAGGUGUAGCGGUGAAAUGCGUAGAGAUCUGGAGGAAUACCGGUGGCGAAGGCGGCCCCCUGGACGAAGACUGACGCUCAGGUGCGAAAGCGUGGGGAGCAAACAGGAUUAGAUACCCUGGUAGUCCACGCCGUAAACGAUGUCAACUAGCCGUUGGAAUCCUUGAGAUUUUAGU
rnacentral:rRNA from 1 species